GCGCAAUUGGUUUGACCGCCGCGGAGGCGUGGCGUAACCCCAAAACCAAUCUCCGUCGAUUCCGCCCUAUUACAAGACGUCGACAGCAAGCAACAUCGAUCUCGAUCCGCUCCCCUCGUCCGAUGACCUCAUCGAGUCGCCGUCCUCCUCGCGACACCAGCCAUCGGUUAGCUGUGGUAACUGGGAAAUUUCCUUCGGUUAUGCAAGAAUUCUGAUCACAGAUUUCCACCUCAAGGUCACCAUGUAAAAAAUGCAUGGAAGAAAAGGAUGAAACUAAUUCGGGUGGUGGAGGCCAAAUGCAGUUUUUGAACAGAUCGCAGGUUAAGCAUCCAGACGAUAACUCCAAGUCUGAAGGAAUAGAAGUGGAUCGGAUCGAAAUUAGCAAAGCUCAAGUUGCUGUUUACUUUAAUGCUUGUGAAGGUUCAAAGAACAUGCAUACGUAGCAGAAUCAUCAGUGUGGGUUAGACCACCUAAUUGCUUAUUCUGUGAAGAACUUUUCAGAAAUUUCUGUAUGUUCUAAGGUUGAUCAUGAUAUGUUCAAAUAUAUCAUGUUUGAAUCCAGAUUGCAUUGACCAGCACAAGUCUGCAGAUCUUGAUAUAUCUAUAUCCUUAGCGAAAUCAGCAGAUGUAUAAGAGAAUACAUUGAAGGGAGAUUUCUUGAAGCAAGGUUAGAGGUAGAGCAAGAUGGUCUGAGAGCCUCAAGAGGUUCAAUUGUUGGUGGAAUAAGGCAAUGAAAAGAAGCAAGUGAUAUGCACCAGAUAUCAACUUGAUACAUUCUUUGGUUCUUUUGGAAGGUACUAUGAAGAGCAAAGGAUGAUGAUUCGGCUUGUCUCUCACUCUGGUAUCCCUUCAUACAUUUUGGAUUUCACUCUUAGAGGUUUAUAUGUACUAGUUGUGAAUACUUGUGUAGUGAGUAUCUUAAUUGUUCUUAUUAAUUUUAGCAAAUUAUUGCAUUAUAUAAGGGGGAAAAAAAGGUGCCUGAGUUUUUUUCAUUUAUAUUUCUAAUCUACAACCGUCUACAUGGACAGGUGGGAAGGCAGCAUCCCUUGGACAUUAUUUAUGGCGGAGGAUAGCCUCUUCUUUAUCGAUGGCAUCGUUCACCUGAGAGCUGAAUUGACCAUCAAGCAGGCUUCCACAAUGUCAUUGCAGUCUUAAGUAUUGCUUAUCCUUCCGUUCGAUAACUGGCAUUCUAUGACCCCUGGAUAUUGAUGUGGAGAUAAUACAUCUUUGUAAUUGCACUCAUACCUGUUGAUAUCGAUACCAAACAAAAUAUGAAACAUGACAAACCAUCAGAUUUUGCUAUGUGCGGGCAGAAGUCUUUCAGUUUUGUAGAUGAUUUCUUCUGUAACUAAAUAUUGAUAUCAGCCUGAACUGUUUUCCCAUCAUCACCUUGAAAAUCUAUAUGUUUUUGACAACUGAGGGUU